GGUUUUUCAGAGAAUGUAUUUUUAACAUGUGUAUUUUGUCUUACUGUACUGGCAGAUUUUUAUAGUCAAAACAAGUGAAAAAAUCUACCAGUGCCGAAGAAGUAAUCCAAAGUAUUUAGAAUAUGUUACUGAGCUUGAGUAAUCUAACGGAAUACGUUACAAAUUAAAUUUUACAGCAUGUAUUCUGUAAUCUGUAGUGGAAUACAUUUCAAAAGUAACCCUCCCAACCCUGAUUAUAGAUAUCUAUAAUAAAUUUUCACUAGUUAAAAUGCUAAUUCUUGAUUUCAGAAAUAAAAGAGUGAAAAUCCAAGUUUUUAUAUUUAUAAUUCUUGAUAUAAAAAAAUGACAUCCACGGAAAUACACAUUCUUGAGAUCAAAAAUGGAAUGUCAGCUAGAAAAAGCAGUCUUUUUUUAUAUUUGUUCAUUAAUGUUCACUAAUAGAAUUUCACUGCAUCAGAUAUCUUUUAUUGAAACUAGUAAGAACCCCUUUUAAGAUUGAAUUACUCCAAUUUGAAAUUAACAGUAACUAAUGUAAAACAAAAUACACAUCAAUAUUUAGCUUGUUUCCUCUCCCCAUGUAAUUUAAUUGUUGAUAUCAGGAAUGGACAUUUACACUAGUAACAACAUAAUCAUUUAUAUAUAUAAGAAAUUUUACUAGUAAGAAAUACAUGGCUGAUCUGUAUGUAGACCCCAUCCAGACUCCCAGCCAACCCAAACACCCUUAAUAUUCAAAUGCUGGAUUAACACUAAUAACAAACAUCAUUAAAUUAUUCUAAGCUUCAGCUAUUUUCUCAAUGAACUCUUAUGCAAAGUCCCCUUUAGUGUCUGAUAGAAAAUUUACAUUGGUUUAUUUUAUAGAAGGAAAACAUUACUCAAUCUGUUAAAGAGCUCAUUUCUUUUAACCAUAAAUACAAAUGAAGCAUAUUUUUAAGACAUAAAAUUGUAUCUAGCCUGAGUCAGUCCGCAAGACCUCUGCAGUAACUGUGUAUCACAGGCUGUUUAAAAAAAAAAAAAAAAAAGCGCAACAUACACCAAAAUAUGUAAGAAUCCUUAACUUUAUUACCAUUUUGAAUAUAAAUUCCUGCAGUCCACAAUAGAAAAUGCAGAGUGUAUACAUUGAAAAGACUGAUCCCAAACCAGUUCUGUGCAUGGGCACAUUAAAACAAGACAUCAGUAUUGAGGGGGCAUGUUAAGAACCAUUGCGUCAAACAGCCAAUGUACCGUUAUCUACUGAAUGGGGCUCAGAGCUAAGCAAGUAGCAGGAUGUAGUUUAUUACAAAAAAAAAAAAAAAAAAAAAAAAACCUAAUCUUUAGGUGCAACAAAAUAAUUUUGUCCAUGA